rnacentral:rRNA from 1 species
UACAGAGACCUCAAGCGUUAUCCGGAAUCAUUGGGCGUAAAGCGUGCCGAUAGGUGGUUUAUUUAGUCUUGGGUAAAAGCCAGAAGCUCAACUUCUGAGUUUGCUUAAGAUACUAAUAGACUAGAGGGGCAAAGAGGUGCUUGGAACGAAUGGUGUAGUAGUGAAAUGCGUUGAUAUCAUUCGGAGCACCGAAAGCGAAGGCAGAGCACUGGUUGCCUCCUGGCACUGCUAGGACGAAAGCGUGGGUAGCGAAUGGG